rnacentral:lncRNA from 1 species
CACGAAUCUUGCAAUGGUCUCUAUAAGCUAUCUCUGUCAGGCCUAGAUGGAGGAGACUCAAUCCAUCGAUCUUUCCUUCUUUUGGCUGCCUCAACAUUGUUGAAAUUCCUUCCUGAUGCUCAAGCACUCAAACCUCUAAGGAUAGAUGAUUAUGAAGAAGAACCAAUGUUAAAACCUGGAUGUAAAGAAUAUUUUUGGUUGUUAUGCAAAUUAGUGGACAACAUACAUAUAAAGGACGCUAGUCAGACAACACUCCUCGAUUUAGAUGCUUUGGCAAGACAUUUGGCUGACUGUAUUCGAAGUAGAGAGAUCCUUGAUCACCUGGAUGGUAAUCUCGAAGACGAUGGGCUUUCAGGGCUUCUGAGGCUUGCAACCAGUGUUAUUAAGCACAAACCACCCUUCAAAUUUUCAAGAGAAGGACAGGAAUUUUUAAGAGAUGUCUUCAAUCUCCUGUUUUUGCUGCCCAGUCUAAAGGACCGGCGGCAGCCAAAGUGCAAGUCCCAUUCUUCUCGAGCUGCGGCCUACGACCUGUUGGUAGAGAUGGUCAAAGGGUCUGUGGAGAACUACAGGCUAGUCCACAACUGGGUCAUGGCCCAGCAUAUGCAGUCCCAUGCACCUUAUAAGUGGGACUACUGGCCUCAUGAGGACGUGCGUGCAGAAUGCCGGUUUG